CUCUGCCUGCCCGCUUCAUGCCUGCCAUCCUUGGCAUCCCUACUUGAAAAAAAGCUCUCCAUUUUUGCAGGAAACCCGAGUGAAGGCUGAGUGCCCCAUGAGGGACCCGGGCUCUGACACAGACAGACUGUCCCGGCUGGAGUCCAGCUCCUGGACGACCUGGGUCUCCCCGUUCUGCACUGGUAUCGCGCGGUGAGGCGGCGCUGAUCAGAACCUCAAAAGACCUGACCCCGAACACCGUCAUCCCAAAUCCUGAGCUCCUGAAAGAUCAAAACCUAACAUGUUGGUGUUCUGACCAGUUUCUCUGUGAAUGGUUCAUCUGCACAUAACUCAUAUCCACGUGACUGAAUGAGCACACCUGUGUGUCUGUGCUGGAGAAAAUGUUAUGAUCACCGACUUUAUUGGGAUGUCAGCAUUCAGAACUGUGUCCCAGGAUCGUGGCCCAGACCCACAGGGCAGGGGCGUGCACUUUUGAGGGUUCUGAAGACGACUCAACAGGGUGCCUGACCUGCUGGUAAGGACUCAGGAGACCUCACCUGUCCUCGUCACACUCAUGGAAGGGGACUCCAGAUCCCUGGCGUAGCUGGUCUGGGAACUGGGGAGGGAUGGGCAGUGCCCGGUAUAGGGUGCAACCUCCAGUGCCCACAUUAGCACGUCUGUUGCUGUGAGAUUCUAUCCUGUGGACACCUGUGGCUGUAACACACACCUUCCCACUGCUGUCACAGGAGUGAUACUCUUUCCGAUUCUAACAUCAGUGUGUGCACAUUUUGGGAAAACCAGCAAGUACAGAAGAAGAAUUUAGGCCGGGCCCAGUGGCUCACGCCUGGAAUCCCAGCACUUCGGGAAGUCAAGGCAGGAGGAUCGCUGGAGGCCAGGAGUUUGAGAUCAGCCCGGGCAACAUAGUGAGACCUCAUCUCUAUUUAAGAAAGAAAAAGACCACUGGUCCUCCCAGUGUUUACAAGAUUUUUCCAUUAAAACAGGAGGGAUCAUAAUGAGCGGCCUAACAAAGACAUUUAAAGACACGCCAAGAAGGGGCGCAGACAGGAGUCCUGAGAUGCAGUCAUGGGAACCCGCACCUGUUUUCCCGCCCUGGGCACCCAGCGUGGACAGGCUGGCCGGUGCCAGGGUGAGCAGGGCAGGCUGAGGUCUCCAGUGGGUGGGGACAGGUUAGGGGGCAGCAAUUCAGUGACCCUGUCCAGGACUGGGUCCCUUGCAGAAGGUGAGGUCAGCCAGGGGUGGGGGUGGUGGCUGUGGAAUCCGUUGUCUGGUCUAUAGGGGGUCCCCCUACCGAAGCCCUAACCCUCUCCCCUUCACCACCCCAGUGAUCUCCUGGCCCAGGCUGCUGCCUCCAGCAGCUCCCCAGCCCCCAGGACAGUCCUUCAGGACUCUAGGGGGAGUCCCGUCUACAAGGACGGCUCACCAGUCUCCCGCCACAGCCAGUGAGGAUGGGGUCCUGCAGCCGAAGUGGUGUGUGCCCAGUGUGGUGUCCCUGGCAGGCUGGGAGGGUGCCCCCAGCUGCCAGUUAGUGAGGCUGGGUUAGCACGAGGGCAAGGAGCUUGGAUUCUGGGGCUGACAGCCUGAGCUCAACUCCAGCGCCCCAUCUUGCUGGGGCUCCUCCGCCUGGAGGCGGCUCCUCCACCUGCCUCUGCCUCCGUUUCUGCAGCAGUUGCCUGCCGGACUCCAGCCCGAGGCGGGGGCCACGGCUGACCCAGCUGGAGAACGCCCCACUGGCCCAGUCAGUGCUGUCCUCUGCACCUGAUGGCUUCUCUUGGCAGGGAGGGCUCCCCCGCCCCCGGGCUCUGUGCCAGCCAGAGGUUCCGCAGGAGCUGCUCACUUCCUCCCGCCGGCAGAGGCAGCCUGCGGGGCGGCUCCAACCUGGAGAAACCAAAAUCAGGGCAAGUCCCUGGCUGCUUCCCUGGAAAGCCCCGACGGAGUCCCCGCUCCUUCCCGCCGGUUCUCAGGGUGCUUUAUUUCAGAAGGGGAUUUCUUCCUCCUGAGAAUCUGAUGGCCACAGGGUGCCUGUCACAUGUCCACAUCGGGCCCUCCUGGCUGUCACCAACUUGUCCAACUGUCAGAGGUGUUUGAACCAGAGCGACUCCGUCUUGAAUAGGGGCUGGGUGGAAUGAGGCUGGGGCCUGCUGGACUGCGUUCCCGGGAGGGUAAGGCAUUCUUAGUCACAAGACAGGAGGUUGGCACAAGAUACAAGUCACGAAGACCUUGCCGAUAAAGCAGGUUGCAGUAAAGAAGUGGCCAAAUCCCACCAAAACCAAGAUGGUGACUAGAGUGACCUCUGGUCGUGCUCGCCACUCAUUAUACACAAAUUCUAAUGCAUUAGCUGCUAAGAGACACUCCCACCAGCGCCAUGUCCACAAAUGCCAUGGCAACGUCCGAAAGUUACCCUGCACGGUCUAAAAAGGAGAGGAAGCCUCAGUUCUGGGAAUUGACCACCCUUUCCCAGAAAAUUCAUGAAUAAUCCACUCCUUGUUUAACAUAUAAUCAAGAAAUGACCAAAAUAAGCAUAAGAAUAUUCAGCUGAGCAGCCCAGCCCUCCGCACUGCCUCUGGAGUAGCCAUUCUUUAUUCCUUUACUCUAUUAAUAAACUUCUCACUUGAC
rnacentral:lncRNA from 1 species